UCAAGAACAAGACAUGGGGACUUGUUCGGGAUUCCCUUGGACAGGUGCAGCUCAGAGAGCCAACAGGCUGGGGCCUCAACUUACAGAGGAAGGGUUCUCCUCAGGCUGUGACUAAUUGAAGAUUUCAUGCUGCCAGGAACAUCAAAGCCAAAACAGGUAUGAACCUUUAGAAUACCUUGUAUCUGGAUUAUUUGGGCUUGACUCAAAAGUCCCCAGACAGCCUUGGAGCUAAUAAAAGACACACCUCAGAGUCAAACUCCAGAGAGCUGCUGUCCUUGAGCAGGUUGACUUUCUUCUCCAUCUCCUGGUACUGGGCCAGGGCCCCCUUCUUCUCACCCUGGUUGUACAGCAGCACGGCAUAGUUCAGGUUUACUAAGGGGUUACACCUGUGCCAAACAGGGAUUCUGUGAGGCUUGGGAUCUGCAACCCGUGCUCAUUCAGAGAUGCUCCUCAUUGUACAAAAAAAAAAAAAACGAUAAAAAGUGGUUAAGUAGAGACUUCCCUCUUCUACUGCAAGGUGAGAACACGUGUGUGUGGGCCUCUGGAGAAGCAUCAAGGAAGUAAAUGCCCAGCCAGCCAAGCAGGAGGUAGUGGGAGCAGCAAGUCUGACGUCCCAGCCCUCAACAGGGCCACCAGGGCAGGCUUGAAAAGGGGAUUCCUGAGCCCACUGCCGGUGGAAUGAAUCCCGGGAGUUGUUUAUCUCAAACUAAGCUCAGAGCCUCAUCUGCUAUUCCAGCCAGCCCGUGGCUGUCAGCAGCCCAAGCCCACUGCCAGCGCCUUCUCUGGCUCCUGACUGCAGACUCGGGGCUGGAGGCCGUGUCCGUUCCAGCAGCCGCCACAUCGUGCUGAGGGCCCACGUCCUUCUGCAGCCAGGCAGCAAGAGCAACACCGGGGCUGUGGCGCCACCUGGUGGUUUCGGAGAGUCCAGCCCGCCCCCACGACCACUCCCAACAGAGCAGCUUACUUGUCCAGGCGGACGGCUUCUGCGUAGGCUCUCUUGGCAUUCUCCGGAUCUUCCAGGUUGGUCAGAGCCACUGCAACAGAGAAAGUGGGCACCGUGACUGGAAAGCCCAGCAUAGAAAACACAAGGAAUGUUUCAAGACCACUGUUCAUUUAUCACCCCCCUUUGCCCUAUCAGCUCCUAGGGCCACCACUAGCAGUCACUUGUCACUUGGCCUGGAUGCCCCUGUGUCAUUGGCUUCAACGACCCCUCCCCACAGUCAGCAGUGGCUGAGGUCUCCAAAUCCUGUUUGUUGCACUUUCUUUUCUGACACCGCCCUUGUUAAGGUGCAAGUUGUUUCAGGCUUGCCAUUUUAUCCCCACAGCAGUGUCUCCACCAGCCCCAAAGCUGCCCAUGUCACCAUCUGACAAGAAUCCUCACUGGUUUGCCAUCACCCAUAACCAUGAUCUUUAACUUUCAUUUGGCAACAGAACACAAUCUCCUUUUUAAUCAGUAUUAUCUGGAAGCCUGUUCAUUAAGACAAAGGAAACAGAGCUGUCUGGAAGACAGGCCUACUCCACUCCCCCACCAGCCCUGCAUUCACUUCCACUGAACACAAAAGAGGCCUAGGAAUACAACUGGAAAACCUCAGCCUCUAGAAUAAAGGCCAAAGUCCUUUACCCAAAGGCAUUCCACUCAUGCCAUCUGUGAUGUGGCCCCAGACCAUCUCUCCUGACCACCCCCUCACUGUGUUCCACACACACCUGCCGCGCCCACGCUGCCAUUCCGGGCUGCACGACUUGCUCCCGGCUCCUCGGCCACACUGUGCCAGUGAAUUCUACUUUGUGAAGUCAGAAAUGCUGCUCAUGCCUUACAGUAGGGCUGUCUGUUCCCAUUCCUGCAUCCCCAUCAGAAUGGAGCUCGCUUAGUAUUCAGGCAACCCACAGUGAACCAUUCAAUUUGCUUUGGCAACCUUCCUCUUAUAAAAAAGAGGAAACCCCACAAUAAUGAUUUUUGAAAACCCACCAGGGGGCGCUUGGGUGGCUCAGAGGGUUAAAGCCUCUGCCCUCCACUCAGGUCAUUAUCCCAGGUCCUGGGAUCAAGCCCCUAUGGGGCUCUGUGCUAGCAGGUUAGCCUGCUCCCCCCACCCCCCGCCGGCCUCUCUGCCUACUUGUGAUCUCUGUCAAAUAAAUAAAUAAAAGUCUUUUAAAAAAAAAAUCACCAGAAGACCACACUGUCAGUGAGAAUAUGGAAAGUGCUUUUGGGCUUACAUUUAGUAAGUCUUGUAUGUGGAGAAAUACCCCCAGAAAGAAUAUUAGUACUUUAAUAACAACAGACCAAUUAUGUAAUGAUAAUAAAACCAAUACUUAAUAUUCAUUGGUUAUUUAAUUACGUGAUCCUCCCUCUCUACUGUGAGUUCUAACCAGUACGUAGUGUAAGGAGGACCCUUCCUAAAGCCCAAACUGUUAACACUCAGUGGUAUCUGGAACUUAGUUGGACUCUGUUUCUCCCUCUCUCUAUUUGUAAAUAAACUGUCAAGUCAGGGAAAACAACUGGUAAAAGAUGAACUAGGAAUGAUCUUGAUUUAACCUGUUGGUCUCUGAGUGAAACAUCUCCAAGCUAGAAGAAACCAGAUAUUGUGUCUUUUUUCAAGCUCCAGGGCACUCAACUAGGCUCCAAUGGGAUCUGUGAGGCAAUAGCUUCUACGGGACAUAUAACCACUGGCCUCGUAUAAUUCUAGAUCAUUUUCCGUCAUCACAGACUACAGGGGGGGCUCUCCCCACAAAUGUCUCUUACCAGCCAAGAGCAUGUAGAGCUCCCCCAUCUUUGGCUGGAGAUUGAUGGCUGCGCUGAGGAAAUGGAAAGCCGACGCAUACUGCUGCAUAGUCAGGUGGACAAGGCCCAAAUUAUAUAGAAUCUUCCAAUCAAAGGGAGCCAAGUAGUUGGCUCGCUUCAGGCAGCUGAUAGCCUGCAGGGAGAGGGGGUACUCGAUGAGCAGUGGGGACAAGCCUGGCAGCCCCAGGAACUGCCUCUAUGAACACAAACAAGGAAGAUGGGGAGACACUCACUGCCACAUAUUUCUUCUUGCCAAAGAAACACAUUCCAAUGUUAUUCCAGAGUGGAGGACUUUCUGGAACAGCACAAGCUACAACUCUGUAUUUCGUGAGGGCAACAUCAAAGUCCCCAUGGGUCUGCAUCAUGCUGCCUGCCGCCAAGAUGGCCUGAAAACAAAGAACAUGAAAAGCUGGUAAUUGAGCCAUUCCCCAAAGCCUUUCGCAGUGAAGUGGUGGUUCUGGGUGUACUCAGCAGGCCUGUCAGCAAGGACAGGACUCCACACUUCUUCCAGGACAUAGAAAAUAUAUUCAGGCUCUCGGGACAGAUGCUUGGGAGGAAUGUCCCUGUGCCCCCUGGCUUUCUUUGGCACAGUAAAGAAAAAGAAAAGAAAAAAAAAAUGUCAGUGACUUGCCCUGGCUCAUUUGUUCCUAUUUCUAGUCCAGGAAGUCAGUAUUUCAGAGUCAAGGCACUUUCAGUGAAACAGCCUUUCAUCUGCGCCCCAGGCCCCUACUUGGUACACCAAAUGCUCCAGACAACCCAGAAACUGCUGUCUGGCCAUUUAAGGUCCAGCUCCUCUGGCACCACCCAGGGGGGUCAGCCGGAGGCCUUCGCAGCCCCGCCCUCUCAUUUCUCGGAGGAAAGGUCCGGCAGGCGCUGGCAGGUUCAGCCUACCAUGCGUCCCAUGAUGGGAAAGAUAGGCCAGGUCAGCACCCUUCUUCAAAGCCUGUUUUGCUGCAUCUCCCUCUGCAACGUUCAUCCACUGCACAAUCUCAGCCCCAAAGUCCUAUCUGGGCAAGAGUUGUCCUCACAAAUUCAUUAAGAACCCAGAAGUCACUUCCCCAGAGUCUCCUCAGACAGCAGUGUGGAGACUCUGCUUUUUUCCUGAGUAACACAAGGACUUCACCAGCAUGACAGUUUCACUGUCUGCACGACAGGCCUGCGACAGCAAAUGUGCGCUCGUAGAAAAUAAGCAGAGCACGAACUUUACCGUAUGUUACCAUAUGUUCAUCAAGAAGGGCCAUAUCUGUUUGUAAUUUGAAACAGGUAUUUCUCAGGUAUCCAAAAUGCUUUCUAGGGCCAGAUCACCUCUGGCAGCAGUGGGAGCGGCUGUGUGAAGGCUCCGGGGUUGGACAGCCUACAAUACCUUGUAGUUGGUAGGGUCGUAAGUCAGUGCAUUUCCAAGGUGUUCAAAUGCCUUCUGGUAAAUGCCGAGCUUGGAGAAAAAGCAAACCAGAGAAUUACAUUGGGGGGAGAUAGCAGUCUGGCCAACCACACCCCAAACAGCGACACCCAUGCUUUUUGGUUGUCAUGGCAAAAAAAAAGAGCUACAGAUACCAGCUUAAAAAAAAAACUAAAAACCCCCAUAUUUGUUGAUUUGUCCCUGAAGGUCAAAGUAUCUAUGCGCCAGAGCCGCCUCUGGUGCACUCCGGUGUUCCACAACAACGCUUCCCUGGCAGGAAAUGGGCCGGUGAGCCUCAAUCCCUGGUGGGGUGGGGGGUCAGCCUCCAAGCCAAAGCUAGGAAUGUCCAGGGUUAAGCUCCUGAUUCCUUUUCAAGAAAAACAAAAGAUGGAAAGGCCACCCCAGAGGCAGAGCUGGGGGGGGGGGCAGCUGAGCAGAGAACUGGAGGAGCAUGGAGGGGGUGAGACAGGGCAAGAGCCUCAGGGGUCCCCACCAGGCCUGCAGGCUGGUACAGAGAAGUGGAGGCACUAUAAAAAAAA